UGAACCGACGCCAGCCCAGGCUUCGCCUCCUCCGUCCGCUGCCUUCGUCGCCGGGAAGAGCUGCUGCUGCCAUCGCUGCUGUCGUCGUUCGUCCAGCCGGGAGAUGCCACCGCCGGUGGUUGUGCAGCCGUCGCCGGGAGGCGCUGCCUCCGAUUCCGCCCCGAUUUGCCCCGGAACUAACCCGUUCAGCCCCGCAAGACCCCGAUUUCAACCGAACAGACCGGUUUUCAUCCAAAUCACAGAGGAGGGAAAAAAAAUCUUUGCACUUGUCGUCCAAGUCAACAGGAAGAGGAUUUAGUUUGAUUUGUUUAAUUCACAGUCGUUUGUAUUUUAUUAAAUUAUACAGGCCACAAGUUAUUUAUUACGGACUGGAUUUUUAUAUUA